GUCAUUGUGUGGCCAGGACAGGCUGGCUGAAAUGCUGCUGCAGUGUGAUGGCAUGCAUUCCCCCACAGGAGCAGUGGAGCUCUCCCACCACCAUAUGCAAAAAAAGGAUUAAAAUACAUAAAUAUUUUACACUCCAUUGACUUGGCAGGAGGUGCAUUAGAUUUAAGCAUUCAGUGCUGUUCAGGUUAGAAUCCCCAGCAAAAGUUGCUUUAUUUCUACCAAAAACUAUUAGAUAAUGUAGAAUACAUGAUUAUUGUAAGUUGUAUAUUCAGAAACAUUAUAGUCAAGUAAGGGCUUCAGUAGAAAUAUGUAAGUUUAGCUACACUUUUCAAAACAAGACAGGCAAUGAACUGACCAGUGACAGCGUCGGUCAGUGGCCGUGUUACCAUGUUCUUGUUUCCUCAGCUGGCAAAACUAUUAUUACAGACUUAGUGAAGCAGUGUCACAUGAUAGUCCCCUGCCAGGUAACCUACAUUAUUGCUUCCCCCCUACAGCAGGAGUGGAGCCUCUGGAGCAGCUGAUGGCUGACCUGGAGCUGGAGAAGAUGGUUCAGGAUGCCAGCAAGACAGCUCUUUGACACUUCCAGUAGUGGUAGAAUCCUCCCAUCACCACCCUCACUCCUCUGCCACUGCUGACCACAACACUGAGGCUGUAUUCUUCAGGACCUGAUUGUUGCUUGGACUUGAGGCUUCCCUGCUUGGGACUGGCAGUUCUGCAAAUGCUGUUAGUGACAGCAUCCGUAGGACAACAGUGUAGGUGGUGUCCUCUGGAGGUCCUUCACCUGCAUGGAGCUAAGUCCACCUGUUGUAAUACUUGAAUGCGUAAGUGCUCAUCUUGAAGAUUUUAAUCACUGCAGUGGUCACCAUCUCAGACCUGACUGCCACAGGUACUUACUGUACACACUGCUAUCUAUAAUCCAGUGCUUAGCAGGUUCUUGGUUAUGGUUAUCAACUAUCUGGAUAAAUUUUACACAGCACCAACAUUAAAUUACAACAUGUACACAAUAGCAAACUUUGGAGUUGUUUUAAGCAUUGCUACCAUCAGUCCAACCUAGCUAACCAACCUAACAACCUACCCUAACCUAACUCUUCCUCAACAAUGUAGAACAUAUAUUUAACCUCAACAGUGUAGAACAUGUUUAAAAUAAUUUUUUUUUCUAGAAGUUUGGGUCCCAAAGGGUGAGCAGAAAGAAACAAUUUUUAUCUCCCAUUAUGCAACAAAGUCAUUUAGGGAAUUUGGUCAUAUUACUUAAAGCAGUGUCCAAAACAUUAGUUAACUAAAUUCCAUAUGCAGUUUACAGUUUGGUCAAGAUAAAAUAAUAAGCAAAUAUGCUGCUAGUGGGCAAA